UCUAGAACUCGAGAUAUGGGUUAAACACUGAACAGUGUCUAGGUUGCAGGACAGAUUUAGACUUCUCUUUUGAUGCUAAUAGUUGAACUUCAAAAUGACAAUAUUGAAUCUUGGACUCCUAAUGAAUUUUUUAGGCCUAUGUCUUAGCUUUCCAUC
rfam:Populus trichocarpa scaffold_6_contig_106, whole genome shotgun sequence.